rnacentral:rRNA from 1 species
UACGUAGGUGGCGAGCGUUGUCCGGAUUCAUUGGGCGUAAAGCGCGUGUAGGCGGCCGUACAGGUCCGGUGUGAAAACUCGAGGCUCAACCUCGAGAGGUCAUCGGAAACCGUACGGCUAGAGUCCGGAAGAGGAGAGUGGAAUUCCUGGUGUAGCGGUGAAAUGCGCAGAUAUCAGGAAGAACACCCAUGGCGAAGGCAGCUCUCUGGGACGGUACUGACGCUGAGACGCGAAAGCGUGGGGAGCGAACAGG